GGAAUUGAACCGUGACCUCUUGGUUAGUAGGUUGACGCUCAACCACUGAGCCACUGGGAAGAUCAUUUAUUCUUAACAAUAACCCUUAUCGUGGUCAUGAUUAAAGUAUGGCUCAUAAAGGGUUAAGAAACCUCACCAAACUUACACAACUAGUAAGUGAAGGGGCCAUUCAUUCAUACAACAAAUAUUACCGGGUGUCCUCCUUGUGCCAGGAUUCAAAGCUCCAGAAGGUCAUCUGGUCUAAACUCAGGGCUCGAGAUCACUCCUGAUCCGGCCAUCCUGAUAUAGCAGCCAAAGCCACAAUCCAUCCCCCAGUCCACACUCUCCACACACUCUCCACAAAGGCAAUCAAAAAGCGCUCUGCCCCCAAAGGCUGGUGAGAUCUCUGAGGACCAUCUCAUUGGGUUGGAUUGGGCCUUGCAUUCCAGUUUCUGAACCUGGGAUCAAACGCCAUUUCAUCGGGUUUUGAAGGGGCAGAUUAAUAGAGGGGCAGGUCCCCAACUCCAAAUAAAGGGUUUCAUGGUACCAGAUAUAACAAGUGGAAGGCAGGAAGGAAAGGGAGGGAAGAUCAUUAGGAUUUACUGAGCGUCUCCCUUUGUAUCAUAUGCUGUUCAAGGCCCUUUCACUUAUGUCUCGUUAUUAUCCCCAUUGUUUUAGUGAGCAAACUAAAACUCAGAAACAAAAUGACUUCCCCUAGGCCACAGAGCCAGUAAGUGACUUAAUCCUGAAUAUGUCUGAUGCAGAGCCUGCGCAAUUUCUUCGAGCAGGUCACAACAACGGGGAACCUGCUGUCAGGUCUGGUAAUACGUGGCUAUUUGAGGUCCCAGCUGACCUAUGUGUGACAUCCUAGAUGCCAAGUUUUCUUCCUCACUGACCCAGCCCUGUUAUCGCACCUCUGGUUCCCACCUUUCACAGUUGUUUUGAUUAGGGAGCUACGUAAGUAUUCUGGCUAGGAUUGGGGGGCGGGUUGUGUGGCUUUGGGAUGCAGCGAGGCAGACCCCCAUCCAGGAUUUCAGGACCUGAGAGAAGAAGUGAUAAGCCUCCUGGGCCAUAACGGGAUGGAUAAAUGAAGAAGAGGCUGGAGCAUGGCUUUAAGUCCAUAUGGCUCUGGUUGGGAGGCUGAUGACCGUGGGGACUGGGGCAGGUGGCAAGAACUAAGCAAGUCCCUUCCCCUGCGCCCCUCCCUCCCUCAGUGUCAACAAAGGUGAUGUGGUUUCCCCUGUGGUCUGUCGCCCUAGACACCUGCAGUUCUGAGUAUACGUGUAUGCGUCUAUGUGCCAACAAUGCUGUGAGGGGACACAAGGAGAAAGCGGUGGGACAGGAUGGGGAGGGGCAGGAAGCCAAAGACAGGCUCUCCUCAACCCCAGGACGAAGAAAGAGCAACGAAUAUACAAGAUGGCAAAGAUCACCCCCUUGAUGAUUCCAGGUGCCCAGGAACAUCGGGAGAGAGCUCGAAGAGAGGCAUUAUGAGGAAACUGAAGACCCGCGGGGGAAAAUAACUUGCCAGAGAUGACAUGGUUAGUCAUGAAUCAGAGAGGGGAGCAGGCAGAGAACUCGGGCGUCCCAGCUUCUAGGUCAGUGCUCCUUCCACAGCCCGCACUGCCCAGCCCGGAGAUGCCUGUGCCAGCAGAGAUUACAGUCAGGGAGGCAGCCACCAGGCCAUACACUAAUCAUGAGCAAGAAGAAAUUCGUCUGAGUUGCAGAAUGUUUUUCCACAGCCAGCUCACGAUUACUCGCUCCAGUGGGCCCCUGCAGGGAUGCUGGGGUCCACCCACAGGUUCUUGGGCACGGCACCGAGGCAAAAGAAGCCACAGGUCCGAUCAUGGAGGAAUGCAUCUUUUCCUGGAGAGCAGGAGGCAGCCGAAAAGAGCCUGGAUGAGAGCUGUCAGACAGGGGCUCCCACAGCGGGUGUUGCCAAGGAGACGCUGGGUUCACAGGGUCACAGCAGUUCCGUGUUGGAAAGGACCCAAUGGAUUACUGGGUCCUUUAGCCGGGGCACUAAUCCUGCUCUGACCUGCCCCCUCCGUGCCUGAGGCAGUAGUUGGGAGGCUGAGAGACAAGGCCACUCUCUACUCUUGGGCAGACCCCGAGGAUGGGCUCCACACUGAGC